AUUCUGUAAAGCACACUGGCAGCACUUGGGCAAACACAGACAUCUUCUGUGUCCGCUGAGCUCUUGGUUGUAAAUGAACUUUUGCAAGGAUAUUGACUGGUGUGUUUUGUUAUGAUGAGUGGUCACCAUCUCACAACUUGAAGAGCCUGAGAAAGAAGCAACUUGCUACUCGAGAGGCCAUGGCCCGCCAGACCGUAGUCUCAGACACAGAGCUGAGUAUUGUUGAAUCAUCUGUGAUCAGCUUGCUGCAGGAGGCAGAAAGUAAAUCUGAACUUAGUCAGAACAUCUCUGCCCGGGAACAUUUUGUAUUUACCGAUAAUGAUGGCCAAGUUUAUCAUCUCACUGUUGAAGGAAACUCAGUAAAAGAUAGUGCUCGGAUUCCACCAGAUGGAAGUAUGGGUAGUAUUACCUGCAUCGCUUGGAAAGGUGAUACAUUAGUGCUUGGAGAUGUGGAUGGAAAUUUAAAUUUCUGGGACUUGAAAGGCAGAGUAUCCAGAGGAAUACCUACACACCGAAGUUGGGUGAGGAAGAUUCGUUUUGCUCCUGGUAAAGGAAAUCAAAAAUUAAUAG
rnacentral:sRNA from 1 species